rnacentral:rRNA from 1 species
AGCGAACGCUGGCGGCAGGCCUAACACAUGCAAGUCGAACGAACUCUUCGGAGUUAGUGGCGGACGGGUGAGUAACACGUGGGAACGUGCCUUUUGGUUCGGAAUAACUCAGGGAAACUUGUGCUAAUACCGAAUGUGCCCUUCGGGGGAAAGAUUUAUCGCCAUUAGAGCGGCCCGCGUCUGAUUAGCUAGUUGGGGAGGUAACGGCUCACCAAGGCGACGAUCAGUAGCUGGUCUGAGAGGAUGACCAGCCACACUGGGACUGAGACACGGCCCAGGCUCCUACGGGAGGCAGGAGUGGGGAAUCUUGCGCAAUGGGCGAAAGCCUGACGCAGCCAUGCCGGGUGAAUGAUGAAGGUCGUAGGAUUGUAAAAUUCUUUCACCGGGGACGGUAAUGACGGUACCCGGAGAAGAAGCCCCGGCUAACUACGUG